AUUGAACGCUGGCGGCAGGCCUAACACAUGCAAGUCGAGCGGAUGAAGGGAGCUUGCUCCUGGAUUCAGCGGCGGACGGGUGAGUAAUGCCUAGGAAUCUGCCUGGGAGCGGGGGAUAACGUCCGGGAACGGGCGCUAAUACCGCAUACGUCCUGAGGGUGAAAGUGGGGGAUGUUCGGACCUCACGCUAUCAGAUGAGCCUAGGUCGGAUUAGCUAGUUGGUGGGGUAAAGGCCUACCAAGGCGACGAUCCGUAACUGGUCUGAGAGGGUGAUCAGUCACACUGGAACUGAGACACGGUCCAGACUCCUACGGGAGGCAGCAGUGGGGAAUAUUGGACACUGGGCGAAAGCCUGAUCCAGCCAUGCCGCGUGUGUGCAGAAGGUCUUCGUAUUGUAAAGCACUUUAAGUUGGGAAGACGGGCAGUAAGUUAAUCCCUUGCUGUUUUGACGUUACCAACAGAAUAAGCACCGGCUAACUUCGUG
rnacentral:rRNA from 1 species